rnacentral:rRNA from 1 species
UACGAAGGGGGCUAGCGUUGUUCGGAAUUACUGGGCGUAAAGCGCACGUAGGCGGCUUUGUAAGUUAGAGGUGAAAGCCCGGGGCUCAACUCCGGAAUUGCCUUUAAGACUGCAUCGCUAGAAUUGUGGAGAGGUAAGCGGAAUUCCGAGUGUAGAGGUGAAAUUCGUAGAUAUUCGGAAGAACACCAGUGGCGAAGGCGACUUACUGGACACAUAUUGACGCUGAGGUGCGAAAGCGUGGGGAGCAAACAGG